rnacentral:rRNA from 1 species
GGAGGGUGCGAGCGUUAAUCGGAAUGACUGGGCGUAAAGGGCAUGUAGGCGGAUGAUUAAGUUAGGUGUGAAAGCCUCGGGCUCAACCUGAGAAUAGCAUUUAAAACUGGUGAUCUGGAGUACUGUAGAGGGAGGUAGAAUUCCACGUGUAGCGGUGAAAUGCGUAGAGAUGUGGAGGAAUACCGGUGGCGAAGGCGGCCUUCUGGACAGAUACUGACGCUGAGAUGCGAAAGCGUGGGGAGCAAACAGGAUUAGAUACCCUGGUAGUCCACGCUGUAAACGAUGUCGAUUUGGAGUUUGUUGCCUAGAGUGAUGGGCUCCGAAGCUAACGCGAUAAAUCGACCGCCUGGGGAGUACGGCCGCAAGGUUA